GGAAAGCUCGGAAUUUAGAACAAUCGUUUUGGAUGCUGGCAUCCUGCAACGAUUGCCUAAAAUCCUAGCGCUUUCU
rnacentral:ncRNA from 1 species